rnacentral:rRNA from 1 species
GACGAACGCUGGCGGCGUGCUUAACUCAUGCAAGUCGAACGGAAAGGCCCUGCUUUUGUGGGGUGCUCGAGUGGCGAACGGGUGAGUAACACGUGAGUAACCUGCCCUUGACUUUGGGAUAACUUCAGGAAACUGGGGCUAAUACCGGAUAGGAGCUCCUGCUGCAUGGUGGGGGUUGGAAAGUUUCGGCGGUUGGGGAUGGACUCGCGGCUUAUCAGCUUGUUGGUGGGGUAGUGGCUUACCAAGGCUUUGACGGGUAGCCGGCCUGAGAGGGUGACCGGCCACAUUGGGACUGAGAUACGGCCCAGACUCCUACGGGAGGCAGCAGUGGGGAAUAGUGCACAAUGGGCGGAAGCCUGAUGCAGCAACGCCGCGUGCGGGAUGACGGCCUUCGGGUUGUAAACCGCUUUCGCCUGUGACGAAGCGUGAGUGACGGUAAUGGGUAAAGAAGCACCGGCUAACUACGUG